GAUGAACGCUGGCGGCGUGCUUAACACAUGCAAGUCGAACGGAAAGGCCGAAGCUUGCUUCGGUACUCGAGUGGCGAACGGGUGAGUAACACGUGGGUGAUCUGCCCUGUACUUCGGGAUAAGCUUGGGAAACUGGGUCUAAUACCGGAUAUGACGAUCUCUUGGAUGGGGUUGUGGAAAGCUUUUGCGGUAUGGGAUGAGCUCGCGGCCUAUCAGCUUGUUGGUGGGGUAAUGGCCUACCAAGGCGUCGACGGGUAGCCGGCCUGAGAGGGUGUACGGCCACAUUGGGACUGAGAUACGGCCCAGACUCCUACGGGAGGCAGCAAUGGGGAAUAUUGCACAAUGGGCGCAAGCCUGAUGCAGCGACGCCGCGUGGGGGAUGACGGCCUUCGGGUUGAAAACUCCUGUCGCAAUCGACGAAGCCUUUUGGUGACGGUAGGUUGAGAAGAAGCACCGGCUAACUACGUG
rnacentral:rRNA from 1 species